rnacentral:lncRNA from 1 species
GCUAGGUCCUGAGUUUGAUCCCCAGUACCAAAAAACAAAAAAAGUAUGUCAUUAGCUGGGAAUGGUGGCACACACCUGUAAUCUCAGCACUAUGGAGGCUGAGGCAGGAGGAUCACCAUGAGUUGGAGGCCAGCCUGGGCUACCUAAUUAGUUCAAGGCCAGACUGAACUACAUAGUGAGACCCUGUCUCAAAAUAAACAAAAGAAAGAAAAAAAAAAGAGGGUCGGAGAUUUAGCUCAGUGGGUCUGGCGCCUGCCUAGAAAGCGCAAGGUUCCGAGUUGGAUCCCCAGUACCAAAAAAAAAAAAAAAGAAAGAAAGAAAGAAAGAAAAUGUCAUUAGAAGGACCAAGAGUUGGAUGAAGGGGAAGGGAAAGGGACAUAAAAAAGAAUCAAGAUGUGUUAGAUACAUGUAUCAACUCCCCAUGAUCAAUGUAAUCAUUAUGAACUACAAGUAUGUACUAAUAAAAAUGAAAAUUAAAAAAAGAAAGAUGUCAUUAGCCCGGGAUGCACAAGGUCCUGGGUUCGAUCCACAGUACUGGGAAAAGAAAGUAAAGGAGGGAGGGAAAAGGGAGAAAAGAAGGACGAGGUGGACGUCAUCAGUGCCACGUGGGCUGCCCUAGGACAUACAGGACGCACGGGUAUGAAAGAAUGAGCAGUGGAGAGAGGUCCGUCUUCCCACAGGCAGCGAGUCUGCUCGGCUGCGGGAUAAGGUGAUAAGCAUCUGUCCCUGGAGAUGGAAAAGGCAGGGGAGGGCACUGUGAGCGGACAGAGUGGGAGAAGCCCGGGAGCAGGCAAACUAAAUUCUAGGCACUGGCUUCUAAUACUCUGUAAUUUUAUGCGUGUUCUCGGACUUUCAUUAGCUCCUGCCGGCUCCACGUGUCACAUGUUGCCCUGGCUGCGAACCCAAGCCACCUCGUCACUGUGGCGUCCUUUGGUUAGCGAGUGGUUCUCGUGGGAUUCUUCAAGUGUGCUCGCAGAAGAGAGAAUGGAUGACAGAGCAGGAGAAUCCAACCCAAGGGCCAUUACCAGGGGACUAGAUCGAGAGGCAAAGUGCAGAGCAUGCUGGUGCACACCUGUAUUUUGACACUCUGGGAGGCUGAGGCAGGAGCAUCACAAGUUGGAUCACAACUUAGGAUCACAAUUUAGCAAGACUCUGCCUCAAAAUAAAAAAUAAAAAAAGAGCCAGGUAUGGUGGCGCACAUUUGUAAUCCCAACACUUGGGAGGCUGAGGCAAGAGGAUUGCUGUGAGUUCAAGGCCAACCUGGGCUACACAGUGAGUUCAGGGCCAGCUUGAACUACACAGUGAGACUUUGUCUCAAAAAAGCAAAUAAUAAUAAUAAAUAAAAAUUAAAAAGGACUGGGGAUAUAGCUCAGUGCAAAUGCCCUGAGUUCAAUCCCUAGUAGUGUCGGACGGAGG